GACGAACGCGGGCGGCGUGCCUAAUACAUGCAAGUCGAGCGAGCGGAACCAACAGAUUUACUUCGGUAAUGACGUUGGGAAAGCGAGCGGCGGAUGGGUGAGUAACACGUGGGGAACCUGCCCCUAAGUCUGGGAUACCAUUUGGAAACAGGUGCUAAUACCGGAUAAUAAAGCAGAUCGCAUGAUCAGCUUUUGAAAGGCGGCGUAAGCUGUCGCUAAGGGAUGGCCCCGCGGUGCAUUAGCUAGUUGGUAAGGUAACGGCUUACCAAGGCGACGAUGCAUAGCCGAGUUGAGAGACUGAUCGGCCACAUUGGGACUGAGACACGGCCCAAACUCCUACGGGAGGCAGCAGUAGGGAAUCUUCCACAAUGGACGCAAGUCUGAUGGAGCAACGCCGCGUGAGUGAAGAAGGUUUUCGGAUCGUAAAGCUCUGUUGUUGGUGAAGAAGGAUAGAGGUAGUAACUGGCCUUUAUUUGACGGUAAUCAACCAGAAAGUCACGGCUAACUACGUGCCAGCAGCCGCGGUAAUACGUAGGUGGCAAGCGUUGUCCGGAUUUAUUGGGCGUAAAGCGAGCGCAGGCGGAAAAAUAAGUCUAAUGUGAAAGCCCUCGGCUUAACCGAGGAACUGCAUCGGAAACUGUUUUUCUUGAGUGCAGAAGAGGAGAGUGGAACUCCAUGUGUAGCGGUGGAAUGCGUAGAUAUAUGGAAGAACACCAGUGGGGAAGGCGGCUCUCUGGUCUGCAACUGACGCUGAGCCUCAAAGGCAUGGGUAGCGAACAGG
rnacentral:rRNA from 1 species